rnacentral:rRNA from 1 species
CUCACCUAGUAACGGUGAGUGAACGGCAACAGCUCAAAUUUGAAAUCUGGCGGCGGCCCGAGUUGUAAUUUGUAGAGGAUGCUUUUGGCGAGGCGCCUUCCGAGUUCCCUGGAACGGGACGCCAUAGAGGGUGAGAGCCCCGUACGGCUGGACGCCGAGCCUCUGUAAAGCUCCUUCGACGAGUCGAGUAGUUUGGGAAUGCUGCUCAAAAUGGGAGGUAAAUGCCUUCUAAAGCUAAAUACCGGCCAGAGACCGAUAGCGCACAAGUAGAGUGAUCGAAAGAUGAAAAGCACUUUGAAAAGAGGGUUAAACAGUACGUGAAAUUGUUGAAAGGGAAGCGCUCGUGACCAGACUCGGGCCCCGUGGAUCAUCCAGCGUUCUCGCUGGUGCACUCCGCCCGGCCCGGGCCAGCAUCGAUUUCCCCAGGGGGAUUAAAGCCUCGGGAACGUAGCUCCUCCGGGAGUGUUAUAGCCCCUGGCAGAAAGCCCCUGGGGGGAUCGAGGACCGCGCUCCGGCAAGGAUGCUGGCGUAAUGGUCACCAGCGACCCGUCUUGAAACACGGACCAAGGAGUCAAGCAGUAGGGCGAGUGUUUGGGUGUCAAACCCGCACGCGAAAUGAAAGUGAACGCAGGUGAGAGCUUCGCGCAUCAUCGACCGAUCCUGAUGUAUUCGGACGGAUUUGAGUAAAGCCCUGACCAUUGGACCGAAAGAUGGUGAACUAUGCCUGGAUAGGUGAAGCCAAGGAAACUCUUGGGGAGGCUCGCACGGUUCUGACGUGCAAAUCGAUCGUCAAAUCUGGGCAUGGGGGCGAAAGAUAAUCGAACCAUC